rnacentral:rRNA from 1 species
GUUAAGGAGAAGUCGUAACAAGGUUUCCGUAGGUGAACCUGUGAAAGGAUCAUUGCUGAGACCCA